UCCACUCUCGAAGGCCUGAAUUGCAAUACGU
rnacentral:piRNA from 1 species